rnacentral:rRNA from 1 species
GCGUGGGGAGCAAACAGGAUUAGAUACCCUGGUAGUCCACGCCCUAAACGAUGUACACUAGUUGUUGGGGUGCUAGUCAUCUCAGUAAUGCAGCUAACGCAUUAAGUGUACCGCCUGGGGAGUACGGUCGCAAGAUUAAAACUCAAAGGAAUAGACGGGGACCCGCACAAGCGGUGGAGCAUGUGGUUUAAUUCGAAGAUACGCGAAGAACCUUACCUGGGCUUGAUAUCCUAAGAACCUUUUAGAGAUAAGAGGGUGCUAGCUUGCUAGAACUUAGAGACAGGUGCUGCACGGCUGUCGUCAGCUCGUGUCGUGAGAUGUUGGGUUAAGUCCCGCAACGAGCGCAACCCACGUAUUUAGUUGCUAACGGUUCGGCCGAGCACUCUAAAUAGACUGCCUUCGUAAGGAGGAGGAAGGUGUGGACGACGUCAAGUCAUCAUGGCCCUUAUGCCCAGGGCGACACACGUGCUACAAUGGCAUAUACAAUGAGACGCAAUACCGCGAGGUGGAGCAAAUCUAUAAAAUAUGUCCCAGUUCGGAUUGUUCUCUGCAACUCGAGAGCAUGAAGCCGGAAUCGCUAGUAAUCGUAGAUCAGCCAUGCUACGGUGAAUACGUUCCCGGGUCUUGUACUCACCGCCCGUCACACCAUGGGAGUUGAUUUCACUCGAAGCCGGAAUACUAAACUAGUUACCGUCCACAGUGGAAUCAGCGACUGGGGUGAAGUCGUAACAAGGUAACCGUAGGAGAACCUGCGGUUGGAUCACCUCCUUU